rnacentral:rRNA from 1 species
AUACGUAGGGGGCGAGCGUUAUCCGGAAUGAUUGGGCGUAAAGGGCGCGUAGGCGGCCCGGUAAGUCUGGAGUGAAAGUCCUGUUUUUAAGCUGGGAAUUGCUUUGGAUACUGUCGGGCUUGAGUGUAGCAGAGGUAAGUGGAAUUCCACGUGUAGCGGUGAAAUGCGUAGAGAUUGGGAGGAACACCAGUGGCGAAGGCGACUUACUGGACUGUAACUGACGCUGAGGCGCGAAAGUGUGGGGAGCAAACAGGAUUAGAUACCCUGGUAGUCCACACUGUAAACGAUGAAAGCUAGGUGUAGGGGGUAUCGACCCCUUCUGUGCCGCAGUCAACACAAUAAGCAUUCCGCCUGGGGAGUACGGCCGCAAGGUUGAAACUCAAAGGAAUUGACGGGG